rnacentral:rRNA from 1 species
CCUACGGGCGGCUGCAGUGAGGAAUAUUGGUCAAUGGGCGCAAGCCUGAACCAGCCAUCCCGCGUGCAGGAAGACGGCCCUAUGGGUUGUAAACUGCUUUUCCAGAAGGCGAAACGUCUCGACGUGUCGGGAUUUGACGGUAUUUUGGGAAUAAGCAUCGGCUAACUCCGUGCCAGCAGCCGCGGUAAUACGGAGGAUGCGAGCGUUAUCCGGAUUCAUUGGGUUUAAAGGGUGCGUAGGCGGACUAUUAAGUCAGUGGUGAAAUCCUCCCGCUUAACGGGAGAACUGCCAUUGAUACUGAUAGCCUUGAGUUUGGUUAAGGUAGGCGGAAUGUGUAAUGUAGCGGUGAAAUGCUUAGAUAUUACACAGAACACCAAUUGCGUAGGCAGCUUACUGGACCGACACUGACGCUGAGGCACGAAAGCGUGGGGAUCGAACAGGCUUAGAUACCCCGGUAGUC